CGCCUUUUGAAAAAAUAGAAGGUCUAACCUGCCCACUGAAGAUUUUAAAGGGCCGCGGUAUUUUGACCGUGCAAAGGUAGCAUAAUCAUUAGUCUUCUAAUUAAAGGCUGGAAUGAAUGGUUGGACGAGGUACUAGCUGUCUCACUAAAAUAAAUUUGAAUUUAGCUUUUUAGUCAAAAGGCUAAAAUGGAGUUGGAGGACGAGAAGACCCUAUAGAGCUUUACACUAAACUUUUUUAAUUUGUUUGGAAAUUUUUUAAUUUCAGGAGAAAAGUGUUUCGUUGGGGUGACGGGAAGAUAUAAUUAACUCUUUUUAAUGGUUAACAUUGAUAUAUGAAUAAUUGAUCCAUAAGUAAUGAUUAAAAGACUAAGUUACCUUAGGGAUAACAGCGUAAUCUUUUUUGAGAGUUCUAAUCGACAAGAAGGGUUGCGACCUCGAUGUUGGACUAAGGAUUAUUUUUGGGUGUAGCAGCUCAAAGUUUAGGUCUGUUCGACCUUUGAAUCCUUACAU
rnacentral:rRNA from 1 species